GGUUAAUAUCGAUGUCAUUUCGAAGAGGCCGAUUUACAGCGUGAAGAAUCUAAAGCCGAUUUAGAGGAAUUAGCUGUUCCAGCAAAUCUUCACAGAGGGAAUUUCGAGCCCCUGUUGUCCCAUUCGCAUAAUAUGUGGAAAUGCACUCCAUAAUUCAGUGAUACGAAAUCCUUAGAUCCUUUAAUCCUUUGCUUCACAUGCUUGCCACGUCAAUAUUAUCAUUCACAAAUCCGCAUAGAUCCUUUGAUAUCCUGCGACCACUGAUUUCCCCAGUCAGUUCUCAGAAUUGAUUCUUACCUACCAAAAAUCUUUGAACGAUCAAAGCUCGAAAUUUACAGAUCAUUGAAUCCGUUGGAUCAUGGAUUUUUGAAUUUAUUACAUUCGGAAGCAACCAUCAGCGCAGAAAAUAGCGAGGCAAGAAAGAAAAAACAGGGGAAAAAUAACGUACUGUUGCGCUUUUGCAGAAAGCAUUACGUACGACGCUUUCGACGGAGCUUAAUCCUUUUGAAUAAAGAAAGGCACGACGUCGCUACUACGCGAAUGGCUUUCAAAUCCUUUCAUGUUCUCCAAGGACGCUCGCGCUUUCGACUUGCAUACUGCAUCUAUAUGCAUUGCGUAGCCAAUGUUGCAUAGUGCUGUGGAAAAAGUGCUGUGUUAGAAAUGAUGGUGAAAUCUUGUCAAGUGUAUAUUUGAAUCAUUAAAUUCCAGGAUAUUUAAAUUCAAACAUUUUAAUAACGCUUUUUGACUCAUAAAUUCUAUCACCCGUAACACGUUGUAUUUAUAGACUCUUUCUGGAGUCUGCAAGCACAUUAUUCGAACGCAUUCGAUCGAUCCUUUUCCUAACAAUUAUGUCCGACUUGCAUUAAUUAAUGGCGAAUAGAGAAAAAAUUUUAUAGCACGCAACACCUUAUACGUGGAACGGAAAGACUGGCUGCUUGUAAACGGCAAUCGGAAAGUUUAAACGACGUUUCGAGCAGCGGAAGUUUCCACGACGGAGGAGCGUAUCUUCCGGCUUUACUUUCCAACUUCGAUAAUUUCAUAUCUCGUGAGAAAACGCCGCAUUACGGAAGUGGAGGCAGAAAAUCUCGAGUUAAUCCGAUCGUCGAGUUAGGAAGCCUAGGAGUCAAACGUCAAAACGUGCCUUCGGGAAGAUUAUACGACAUUAUAAUAAUUAAUCUGGUUAUUUUUGAUGUUUUGAAGACAAUUUUAUGCGAUAAUUUGUAUGUCGUGCAUGACACAUUUCUUCUGAAAAUGCGGCCACUACACAUCACGUAUGUAUAUUCGUCAUACCGAGAAUAUUCACGAGAAUAUGUCGAAUUAACCGAAGAAUUGUGUCAUUAAUGCAGUAAUGCAGUAAUGGCGCUCUAUACGUAUACUAUGUAAAGAUAUACUAUGUAAAAAUGUUUAAAUAUAAUAUAAUAACAUAAA